UCAAAUAAAAAUCGGGGUUAUUGCUGCCUUCGGUGGUGACGCUUCGGAACUGGGUCGUCUUUUCUUUCGGUUAAGUGGCCUAAAAUUUCGGAUGAUUUUUCGAACGUAUUUAAAUUUUUUUACGUACGUUUGUAUAUCGAAUAUUAGAUGUGGUCAUUCUCAUGAUUCGCGUCUAUAAUUAUUUCAUC
rnacentral:misc_RNA from 1 species